UACAGAGGGUGCGAGCGUUAAUCGGAAUUACUGGGCGUAAAGGGCGCGUAGGCGGCUUUGCAAGUGACGGGUGAAAUCCCUCGGCUUAACCGAGGAACUGCCUGUCAAACUGCAUGGCUUGAGACCGGGAGAGGUGAGUGGAAUUCCCAGUGUAGCGGUGAAAUGCGUAGAUAUUGGGAGGAACACCAGUGGCGAAGGCGGCUCACUGGACCGAGACUGACGCUGAGGCGCGAAAGCGUGGGGAGCAAACAGG
rnacentral:rRNA from 1 species